rnacentral:rRNA from 1 species
AGUGAUGUCCCAUAUUAUUGGGCCUAAAGCGUCCGUAGCUGGCCAACCAAGUCCAUCGGGAAAUCCACCUGCCCAACGGGUGGGCGUCCGGUGGAAACUGGCUGGCUUGGAACCGGAAGGCUCAGAGAGUACGUCCGGGGUAGGAGUGAAAUCCCGUAAUCCCGGACGGACUACCGAUGGCGAAAGCACUCUGAGAAGACGGCUUCGACAGUGAGGGACGAAAGCUAGGGUCUCAAACCGGAUUAGAUACCCGGGUAGUCCUAGCUGUAAACGAUGCUCGUUAGGUGUGGCACCCACUACGAGUGGGUGCUGUGCCGUAGGGAAGCCGCUAAACGAGCCGCCUGGGAAGUACGUCCGCAAGGAUGAAACUUAAAGGAAUUGGCGGGGGAGCACUACAACCGGAGGAGCCUGCGGUUUAAUUGGACUCAACGCCGGACAUCUCACCAGCCCCGACAUCAGUAAUGACAGUCAUGUUGACGACAUCUGCUCGAGCUGAUGAGAGGAGGUGCAUGGCCGCCGUCAGCUCGUACCGUGAGGCAUCCUGUUAAGUCAGGCAACGAGCGAGAUCCACGUUCCUAAUUGCCAGCACCAUCGCACGAUGGGUGGGUACAUUAGGAAGACUGCCAGUGCUAAACUGGAGGAAGGAAUGGGCAACGGUAGGUCAGUAUGCCCCGAAUGGGCUGGGCAACACGCGGGCUACAAUGGUCAGGACAACGGGUUCCAACACUGAAAAGUGGCGGUAAUCUCGCAAACCUGGUCGUAGUUCGGAUUGCGGGCUGAAACUCGCCCGCAUGAAGCUGGAUUCGGUAGUAAUCGCGUGUCAGCAGCGUGCGGUGAAUACGUCCCUGCUCCUUGCACACACCGCCCGUCAAAGCACCCGAGUGAGGUCCGGAUGAGGCCACAUCACUGUGGUCGAAUCUGGGCUUCGCAAGGGGGCUUAAGUCGUAACAAGGUA